rnacentral:lncRNA from 1 species
CUCAUCAGACCACUUUUAUUUCUACUUGAGCACCUGUCUCUACACAGUUUAGCCCUUCAGUAGACCUUCUUUCAAGGGGAUCUAUGACUUCUAAGGCAUAUUCCAAGGGAGUAAGUUCAACACUAAUGGCUAAAAGGAAACAAAAGGGUAUUUGUUAUUGGUGUGGAGCCAAAUACCACAUUGGUCACAAAUGUGUUAAAAGUCAACUUUACCAGAUGUUGUUAGAUUCACCUAGUGAAGAGGACACGAGGGAAUUUCUAGAAUGCUCAGAACAGCUGGAGAACCUUCUUAGGAGAGAGGAACAAAAAUAAGGGCAUGCGUUAUCCCUGUAUGCAAUUAAAAGAUCACAUGGUCCUCACACUAUGAAGUUUCAGGCAAAAAUAAGGACAACCAAAGUCAUAGUUCUGGUAGAUUCUGAAAGCACCCUUAACUUUUUAGACAUUAAAUUGGUGACUCGGUUUUUCGUAUCUAUUACGUAUCCAUAACAGUUAAGGGUUACUGUGGCUAAUGGCAAACAGUUGUUUACCAGGGGCACAUAUAAAGAUGUGGAACGGGCGGUUCAAGGAAUUUGUUUCACUGCUGACUUCAUGAUCUUACUGUAAUACCCUAUUUUGGCCCGGGUCUAAAACGCCCAAACAACAACGGGCCUAUAGGGCCCAAACUCUAAAACAGAACAGAGGCCCAACGUUUCCAGCACAGAGGAAACCCUAGAGGUCCUUCCACGUUCGCGCCGCAGCCGCAAGCUCCAAAUCUUUGCCUAAUCUUCACCUGCACAACAAGAAAAGAAACGAGAUAGAAUAUGGCAAGAAAAAUCUUUGAAAUCAUGAAAGAUACCAGAAGAUUUUGUUUACUUUUCUUGUUUCAUUGUUUGCUAUAAAAGCAAACUCAAUAUAUUGUAAACUGGGGGGAAAUUUAAUGUAAAAAAUAAAAAAUAUAGAGAGAAAAUACGGAGAAUACAAAGAAUUUUUUUGAAGGUGAAUCGAGUUUCUAUUUUUAUAUUUUCUAUUCUUUUGAUUUUUUUAUUUUAUAAGAAAAUAAUAUAAAAGAGGAGAGGGGUAAUACCUUCGAGGAUUGGCCGUUGAAACCACGUUCGCCUCGCUCAAAUCAGAGCUUGGUGGAACGCUGGGGAUCGGCUCGCCUGAGAACGACGGCGUUGAGAGCUGGGGUCGAAAAACCCUAGCAGAGGGUUCUUAAUUUU